rnacentral:tRNA from 1 species
GCAUUGGUGGUUCAGUGGUAGAAUUCUCGCCCUCCCACGCGGGUGACCCCGGGUUCGAUUCCCGGCCAAUGCA